AGUUGUGGAAAAGAACUUCAGGGGCUGAUCUUGUUUGCAUAGGCACACCCACCCCGCCUAGCAUGAGCCUACAGCAGCCCAAAUGGCUGCUGUGGGAUCUCUGUUAUUUCUCUGUUAUUGGGGCAGGAAGAAUAAAGUGUUGUUACCCUGAUUAUGGGAAAUGUGCUUGGA